rnacentral:ncRNA from 2 species
UACGUAGGGGGCGAGCGUUGUCCGGAAUGAUUGGGCGUAAAGGGCGCGUAGGCGGCCUGAUAAGUCUGGAGUGAAAGUCCUGCUUUCAAGGUGGGAAUUGCUUUGGAUACUGUCGGGCUGGAGUGCAGGAGAGGUAAGCGGAAUUCCCGGUGUAGCGGUGAAAUGCGUAGAGAUCGGGAGGAACACCAGUGGCGAAGGCGGCUUACUGGACUGUAACUGACGCUGAGGCGCGAAAGCGUGGGGAGCAAACAGG